rnacentral:rRNA from 1 species
AGUGAACGCUGGCGGUAUGCCUAACACAUGCAAGUCGAACGGCAGCACAGUAAGAGCUUGCUCUUACGGGUGGCGAGUGGCGGACGGGUGCGGAAUACAUCGGAAUCUACUUUUUCGUGGGGGAUAACGUAGGGAAACUUACGCUAAUACCGCAUACGACCUACGGGUGAAAGCAGGGGAUCUUCGGACCUUGCGCGAUUGAAUGAGCCGAUGUCGGAUUAGCUAGUUGGCGGGGUAAAGGCCCACCAAGGCGACGAUCCGUAGCUGGUCUGAGAGGAUGAUCAGCCACACUGGAACUGAGACACGGUCCAGACUCCUACGGGAGGCAGCAGUGGGGAAUAUUGGACAAUGGGCGCAAGCCUGAUCCAGCCAUACCGCGUGGGUGAAGAAGGCCUUCGGGUUGUAAAGCCCUUUUGUUGGGAAAGAAAAGCAGCAGGUUAAUAACCCGCGGUUCUGACGGUACCCAAAGAAUAAGCACCGGCUAACUUCGUG